AUUCAUUGAUUAACAAAAAAAUCUUCUAAGAAUACAACGAAGGUCUUGCAUUAGGAUUUCACCUGAGUGUUGUUGCCUUUAUUCGUAUAAGGUCCACGGAAUGUCGUUUGCACUUGAAACAUCCCACUUGCACCAUCGAAUCUGUUACAUUAUAGGAUGUGGCUUUAGAUUGGUUGGCAAUCAAUCGAGUUGUAGCAAAAGGGAUAAAUCUUUCACCUCUAUGUAAUG
rnacentral:lncRNA from 1 species